ensembl:lncRNA CASC15 cancer susceptibility 15
GAGAGCGGCGUGGGCUGGUGCGAGUGAAGCGCGGGGCGGGGGAGGCGAGGACAGAAGCUCUCCUCGCGGCGUCUUUGUUCUGCUCUGGAGGAGAGACCUUGGCAAGGAGUCGCCGGGCGGGUGCAGGGACCUACCGCCACCACAUUCCGGACCCAGCGGGAGCCCUCCUCUUAAUGCCCCUCCCCCCGCAAGCCAACCCAGGACAUAGCCCCCAGGUCCCCAAGGUUCCGUCUACCUCAUCCUUCUACCCCCAAACUUCACCAACCCGAAAGGAUUCCAAGUCUGGGAUGGGGAGAAAGGAAAGAGGGUGGAGGCAAAGGUGCGCGACGGGCUGGAUACCAACUGGAGGGCCGGGAAAAAGUGUCCGAACGCCUCGUGGACUGCAGCGGGGGAAAUGUCCCUUAAAAGUGCGACGAAGUGGGGAAGAAGGUGUAAUUACUAUUAUCAGCAUCUAGAAAGCAUCAUGAAUUUGCUGGAGUACUUCCUAGCACUGACCUCCUUCAUUCUGCGUUGUUCUUACUGGAUCUUUCCAUCAGCCAACAAUAUGGAAGUACCAAUACAAGGUCAAAUCAUUCCUGGAUUCAUCUGGAGUUGCUUAAAAGUUAAAUCAUUGGAAUUUUUGAUGAUACCUUUUCUAUAUGGAUUACAAUUUGAUCGCUGGGAAUUCUCCACCUUAAAGAAGACGCAAUUUCACCAUGUUACCCAGGCUGGUCUGGCACUCCUUGGCUCAAGCAAUAGCAGUCUGCCUGCUGCAGCUCUCCAAGUGCUGGGAUUACAGUUACAGGGCUUGACGUUUCUAGGACUAACCAAGGAAGAUGCAGUUGGUUGUGAAUCACUUCUUCCCAUGCUGAAAUGGCAAGUUUAUGACACUAAAGAUGCAGUCCAACAGAGUAGUCACUGUGCUCAGCAUCAGUAUUUUUUUUUGCCUCCAUCAUCUUGCUGAAACAGCAUUGGUGUAAUAAAAAUGAACCUCUACACC